AGGAAAUGCAACCUUCAGCUUAAAGUGGCCUGUCACAGCAUAGCGUGACACUCAGUGAUGCCUUCUCUAAGAACUCUGGGGGUUUUUAAAUGUUGGGAAUGGCCUCAGACAUGGAUACUGUGUUCGCUUUUGUGCAUGUGUCAUGUCAUUGCGGUGAGCAUACACUGUAAACCUGGAGACACAGUAGUGCUCAGAUCUCAGAAGAACAUCACUGUCAGUGAGAAGGAUGAUGUGCGGUGGAUAUUUAAGUCAAAUAGAAAUAAUGAGAGCCUGCCACGUAAAGGUCUGUCUAACGGUAGUCUGAAAAUACCACCUUUGAGAAAUGAAGAUAUCUCUGGGAUCUACGAAUUGGAAAUAUUCUAUAUGACCGGACAGAGCAAAACAAAGGAGAAUUUCUCACUUACAGUAGCUGAUAACAGUGAAAGGAGCCUUGAAUGUAAAGAGGAGACCGAAUGUCUCCAGUCAAACAUCUGCUCAUGCUGCAUACCUCCAAACCAAAACAGAGGUUACGUCAUAACCCUAGUGGCAGUUGCAGCUUUUGUGACAUUAUCCCUUGUGACUUUCUUUGUUAUGGUGGCCAGGCAAAGACAGAAGAAGCCGAAUGCAGAGAAAAACGGUGAGAAAAGGGCUUGGCCAAGUGGAAAUUUCAGCCCUUGUCUCAUAGGAUCUCUCUUACAAACAUACUUUAGUGAUUAACAGAUACAGAGAUAUCAGAGAACCCCUACAUGGAAAUGCGUGGAGGUCAACUGAAGCAGAAUUCUCUAAAGAAGUCCCUGAGCCAAGAUUUCAACUCAACUUAUGGUAAAAAGUGGCUUCAGUUAUCAGUUUAUAUUUUAUAAUAUUUACAAACUGUAAACAGAUUAUUAUUAUUCUUGUGUUCCCCACCCUGUGCAACAAACGAUAAACAGUGACUGACAUUGUGCUGAAAUCCUAUUUACUUUUUUCCAACUAGAAAUCUUCCAACCUUUGGAUGUCCCUAACAAAGUGAAAACUGGAACUAUGACAGAACCAGAAGACAUAUAUGUUUGAUUUUUUAGAUGAUUCCCAAAAAUGAGACAUUCAGAAAAUUGAAGAAAAUGCUGAACAAAUAGUGAAUAUCCUACACCAAUCAUGUCAACAUGUUAAUGUUGAUGUUUUACUGUGCAUUUCUGAAUACUAACAAAGAAGACUGACAUAUUACUUAGAAGUAAGAAGUAUUAGUAGCCUGAUGGGUACACAUUUGCCCAUGAACCAGAAGACUACAAAGUCACAAUUUACACUUAAUUCUGCAACGACACAGAGUCACAGGUUCUCUCAAGCCACAAAAGGGUGGGACACAGGUGCAGAUUAGCUCCACAAUGUUUAUUGAACGAUUCAAAAGGAUCAGUAAAUGGGGGAUUUUGGAUACAGGAAGAAGAAAGGUCAGACACACUUUCAUAGUGAACAUCAAACUUGCAGUGGCACGAUGCCAAGGACCUGAGGACAAAACACAACACACACACAACAAUAAAAAGUAAACCAGAGUGUUGUCA
rnacentral:lncRNA from 1 species